rnacentral:ncRNA from 12 species
GAAUUGCUACAACGGCUUCCUGACGUGGCGAUCUAUAUGAACUGGAGCA